AGUUAAACUAGGGAAUUGCUUAUAUGUUAAAAACAAAAACAAAACGAGUAAAGACUUGUUUGAAUGGCGAUCACUUGGAAAAUAGGAAGAAAAAGAAAUACGUAUGUUGUCAGUUUCUCUGGAAAACCCUUC
ensembl:misc_RNA Gm27755 predicted gene, 27755